rnacentral:rRNA from 1 species
CCUACGGGUGGCAGCAGUGAGGAAUAUUGGUCAAUGGGCGCUAGCCUGAACCAGCCAAGUAGCGUGAAGGAUGACUGCCCUAUGGGUUGUAAACUUCUUUUAUAUGGGAAUAAAGUGCAGUACGUAUACUGCUUUGCAUGUACCUUAUGAAUAAGGAUCGGCUAACUCCGUGCCAGCAGCCGCGGUAAUACGGAGGAUCCGAGCGUUAUCCGGAUUUAUUGGGUUUAAAGGGAGCGUAGGCGGGUUGUUAAGUUAGUUGUGAAAGUCUGCGGCUCAACCGUGGAAUUGCAGUUGAUACUGGCAGCCUUGAGUACAGUAGAGGUAGGCGGAAUGCGUGGUGUAGCGGUGAAAUGCUUAGAUAUCACGAAGAACUCCGAUUGCGAAGGCAGUUCACUGGACUGCUACUGACGCUGAGGCUCGAAAGUGUGGGUAUCAAACAGGAUUAGAUACCCGGGUAGUC